ensembl:lncRNA
GUUAGGAAUAGCGGUCAUCUCUCAUGACGACAGAUAAACAGUCACAUAAAUGCACAGGCUGUCAGAACCAUGACCUCCUUUUUUUACUUUCUUCUGAGAGCACUGUGCCAAGUUCUCCACCUUUGUAAAUAAGAUAAGAGCACAACUGCAAGAACUCUCCCAGCACUAUGGACAACAAAAUGGAAGGGACAUUGGAGAAAGAGAUCCCGCCAUCUGAAGUAAAAGAUUCUGAUGAAGGUGGAAUUCGGCUGAGAUUGAGAGACAGAGACCUGUUGAAGAAACGAAAGGCUGAGGCAGAGGAAAAGGCAACCAACCAGUGGGUUUAUGGGGCACAAAGCAUUAAAAGAGUGAAACAGAAGACCAGUGGUACCCCAGGAAGGAAAGGUCGACCAAGAAAAGAAGUAGUUAUUCCAGAAGAUCUUGGUCUGGCUCAGGAAACAGAUCCUUCUCCUGUCACACUUCCUAUCACAGAACCUGUAUUACCCACAAUAGCAGAAACAGUGCCUUUAGUACCAGCUGAGCCACAACCUGAGCCACAACCAGAGCCGGCACCAGUGGAAACAAUUAGUGAAAAACCUCUGGAGUUUCUGAUUGAGGAUCUGGGGCCUGAUGAGGAGGAAGACAUGCCUCAAAAAAGCCUUAUCAUUGAUACAGGUGAUGACGAGCAGCCAUGUGCUGACCUGAACAGUCAAGUCUCAAUGCCAGUGUAUCCUCCAGCAUCUGCUCCUUCUCAACCAGAGAGUCUAUCUGAGAAUUUAAUCAUCUGAGUGUCUCCUUUCUACAGAAAAAUGAAUUUUAUCUAAUUUACUAUUUCAAAGGAUUUCUAAACCCAAACAAGAAUAAAUGUAUAUUUAUUGAAAUUCUUCAUGUCUCCAUGUAUAUAUGCCACUAUCUGUACUGUCAAAGAAAAAAAUUAACAUUCUAUACAUAUUUUUAAUAAAAUAAAAACAUGAAAUUGUUACAGUAUAGUACUUUUGUUAAAGCAACUGGAUCAUUGCCAUAAGCCUAUAUUACGAAUAAUAUUUUAGUUUGUACAACUGACUAUUCUAAAAUAAAUUGGUUUUAU